rnacentral:rRNA from 1 species
ACGGGAGGCAGCAGUGGGGAAUAUUGCACAAUGGGGGAAACCCUGAUGCAGCGAUGCCGCGUGGAGGAAGAAGGUUUUCGGAUUGUAAACUCCUGUCUUAAAGGACGAUAAUGACGGUACUUUAGGAGGAAGCUCCGGCUAACUACGUGCCAGCAGCCGCGGUAAUACGUAGGGAGCGAGCGUUGUCCGGAAUUACUGGGUGUAAAGGGUGCGUAGGCGGGGCGGCAAGUCAGAUGUGAAAUGUAUGGGCUCAACCCAUGAACUGCAUUUGAAACUGUUGCUCUUGAGUGAGGUAGAGGUAAGCGGAAUUCCUAGUGUAGCGGUGAAAUGCGUAGAUAUUAGGAGGAACAUCGGUGGCGAAGGCGGCUUACUGGGCCUUUACUGACGCUGAGGCACGAAAGCGUGGGGAGCAAACAGGAUUAGAUACCCUGGUA